rnacentral:rRNA from 1 species
ACGAACGCUGGCGGCAUGCCUAACACAUGCAAGUCGAACGAGACCUUCGGGUCUAGUGGCGCACGGGUGCGUAACGCGUGGGAACCUGCCCUUAGGUUCGGAAUAACUCCCCGAAAGGGGUGAUAAUACCGGAUAAUGUCUUCGGACCAAAGAUUUAUCGCCUUUGGAUGGGCCCGCGUUGGAUUAGCUAGUUGGUAGGGUAAAAGCCUACCAAGGCGACGAUCCAUAGCUGGUCUGAGAGGAUGAUCAGCCACACUGGGACUGAGACACGGCCCAGACUCCUACGGGAGGCAGCAGUGGGGAAUAUUGGACAAUGGGCGAAAGCCUGAUCCAGCAAUGCCGCGUGAGUGAUGAAGGCCUUAGGGUUGUAAAGCUCUUUUACCCGGGAUGAUAAUGACAGUACCGGGAGAAUAAGCUCCGGCUAACUCCGUG